CUGACGCAGCGACGCAGCGUGAGGGACGAAGGCCUUCGGGUUGUAAACCUCUUUCAGCGGGGACGAAGCGAAAGUGACGGUACCCGCAGAAGAAGCACCGGCUAACUACGUGCCAGCAGCCGCGGUAAUACGUAGGGUGCAAGCAUUGUCCGGAUUUAUUGGGCGUAAAGAGCUCGUAGGCGGCUUGUCACGUCGGGUGUGAAAACUUGGGGCUCAACCCCAAGCCUGCACUCGAUACGGGCUAGCUAGAGUGUUGCAGGGGAGACUGGAAUUCCUGGUGUAGCGGUGAAAUGCGCAGAUAUCAGGAGGAACACCGGUGGCGAAGGCGGGUCUCUGGGCAACUACUGACGCUGAGGAGCGAAAGCGUGGGGAGCGAACAGGAUUAGAUACCCUGGUAGUCCACGCCGUAAACGUUGGGCGCUAGGUGUGGGGAACCUUCCACGUUCUCCGUGCCGUAGCUAACGCAUUAAGCGCCCCGCCUGGGGAGUACGGCCGCAAGGCUAAAACUCAAAGGAAUUGACGGGGGCCCGCACAAGCGGCGGAGCAUGCGGCUUAAUUCGAUGCAACGCGAAGAACCUUACCUAGGCUUGACAUAUACCGAAUACUCAUAGAGAUAUGGGGUCCGCAAGGGCGGUAU
rnacentral:rRNA from 2 species